ensembl:snRNA U6 U6 spliceosomal RNA
GCCCUUACUUUGACAGCACAUGUACUAAAAUUGGAAUGAUACUGAGAAUCAUUGCACAUGGCUCCUGUGCAAGGAUGACACACAAAUUUGUGAAGUGUUCCAUUUAAAA